rfam:Dethiosulfovibrio peptidovorans DSM 11002 ctg1, whole genome shotgun sequence.
UCCUCGGUAGCUCAGCUGGCAGAGCGGGUGGCUGUUAACCACUAGGUCGCAGGUUCGAGUCCUGCCCGGGGAG